AGAUUGAACGCUGGCGGCAUGCCUAACACAUGCAAGUCGAACGGGAGUAGCGGAAUACUCUAGUGGCGGACGGGUGAGGAAUACGUAGGAAUUUGCCCUUAAGUGGGGGAGUAACCCGGGGAAACCCGGAUUAAUACCGCAUGACCUCGAAAGAGCAAAGUGGGGGAUCGCAAGACCUCACGCUUUUGGAGAAGCCUACGUCGGAUUAGCUAGUUGGUGAGGUAAUGGCUCACCAGGCGACGAUCCGUAACUGGUCUGAGAGGAUGAGUCAGUCACACCGGACUGAGACACGGUCCGACUCCGACGGGAGCAGCAGGUGGGAAUAGUAGGACAAGUGGGACGCAAGCCGUGACUCCGAGCCAAGUCGGCCGCGUGGUGGUAGGAA
rnacentral:rRNA from 1 species